rnacentral:lncRNA from 12 species
CUGCAAGGCCCGAGGAUGGGAACUGAGGAUGUGGGAGGGUGCCUGCAUCCCCUUCCCGCCCGGUGUGGGGACAGGACCCUCCCCCGGGACCCUCGGCCUUCAGGGUGAAGGGCUAAGUGCUGAUUGGACGCUGCCUGCCCACAGUGAUGAUGCGGGACCCCACUCUGGGCGGAACUGUGGUGCCCCUGGGUUCCACCGCUGCCUGGUGCCCACUCUGCAUCCGCAGACCUUCGGAGGCACUUGUGCUCCGGAUCUGGCUCGCAGCGACCCGACUCUCCCACUCUCCCCAGUACCCCAGUACUCCCACUCUCCCCAGUACCCCCACCCUCCCACUCUCCCCAGUACCCCAACCCUCCCACUCUCCCCAGUACCCAGUGCAUAAAGAGGAGGCGCUCACACAGCGACAGGUCACAGAGAAACCUUCGAUCCCCGCCCCCGCCCCAAGCCCGCAGGGACACUCGCUGGCCGGCCCACCUACCACCAUCUCUGCGCCGGCCUGGGGCUGGGAGACGUCACCCCCGAGCAUCAGCACGAUGCAGGAGGACCCGGAGACACUGCUGGCCUUGCAAAGGGCCAAUAUCGUGGCCCAGCACCAUCAGGCGCACCAAGCAGGGUCUCCGCAGGACCAGUCACUGUGCAAGGUCACUGACCACCAGGGCUUUCUGCAGUGAGUCCCCUGGACACCCCUCAUCCAUCUAAGGGGGGGUGGCAUUUGCAGGAACACCUCUCUGGAGGCUUACCCCCCCCCCCCAGGUCGGGACCUCGUCCCCUGGAGCCCUCUGAGGGCCAUGUCUGCGCUGGGCUGAGACACCCCGGAGGAUGACCCGGGGCGUGGGCAGGAAGGGAGCUGGGCCCGGGGGAGGCCCCUGGACACUCAGAGGAGGGGCCUCCAUGCCUUCUUCGGGCAGGCCCAGGUGUCUGCCUCCUGCAUCCGGGGGGGGGGGGUGUCCAGUCCCUUCAGCAGGGGCUCCCGCAGGUGAGGGGCUCUGGGGCUGGGGCGUGCUCUCCGUUGGGGGACGGCCUGGUCUGGGGCAAGUCCGCAGGGGUGCUCUCACCCACACCCCCCAGCCAGGGCCCCCACAGUCCCGAAGGCUUCUGUGGGGCUGCAGGUAGAUGCCAGGGUUCAGGCCAGGGCAGGGAGGGAGGGUGUGGAGCCUGAGCCUCCCCAGGCCCCAGGACAGAGGUUGGGGAGCAUCAGGUUGGGGCCAUGGUCCCCUGCUCCUCGUGGGAGACAGGGCCCAGCUCCAGGGAGACCCAGCCUCUCCGCAGACACCAUGGAGCUGACGCCAGAACCUUCUAGAUGCCUGCACCCCUUUAGAUGAGAAUAAAAAUGCGGCCUCCCAAUCUCCA